rnacentral:sRNA from 1 species
UGGCCCACUGAGUCGUGCGGGUGAGAUCCUGCGUUCAGGUUCGAGCAUCGCGCAGCGAUACGACAACGCGCAGCGAUACGACAACGCGCAGCGAUACGACAACGCGCAGCGUUGCCCGUAGGGUGAGGCCACAGGCCGAAUCAAUCCUGCACGACCCACCC